CACCAGACUCCUACGGGAGGCAGCAGCGGGGAAUAUUGCACAAUGGGGGAAACCCUGAUGCAGCGACGCCGCGUGAGCGAUGAAGUAUUUCGGUAUGUAAAGCUCUAUCAGCAGGGAAGAAGAUGACGGUACCUGACUAAGAAGCCCCGGCUAACUACGUGCCAGCAGCCGCGGUAAUACGUAGGGGGCAAGCGUUAUCCGGAUUUACUGGGUGUAAAGGGAGCGUAGACGGCGAUGCAAGCCAGAUGUGAAAGCCCGGGGCUCAACCCCGGGACUGCAUUUGGAACUGUGUGGCUGGAGUGUCGGAGAGGCAGGCGGAAUUCCUAGUGUAGCGGUGAAAUGCGUAGAUAUUAGGAGGAACACCAGUGGCGAAGGCGGCCUGCUGGACGAUGACUGACGUUGAGGCUCGAAAGCGUGGGGAGCAAACAGGAUUAGAUACCCCCGUA
rnacentral:rRNA from 1 species